GGUUAAGCGACUAAGCGUACACGGUGGAUGCCCUGGCAGUCAGAGGCGAUGAAGGACGUGCUAAUCUGCGAUAAGCGUCGGUAAGGUGAUAUGAACCGUUAUAACCGGCGAUUUCCGAAUGGGGAAACCCAGUGUGAUUCGUCACACUAUCAUUAACUGAAUCCAUAGGUUAAUGAGGCGAACCGGGGGAACUGAAACAUCUAAGUACCCCGAGGAAAAGAAAUCAACCGAGAUUCCCCCAGUAGCGGCGAGCGAACGGGGAGCAGCCCAGAGCCUGAAUCAGUGUGUGUGUUAGUGGAAGCGUCUGGAAAGGCGUGCGAUACAGGGUGACAGCCCCGUACACAAAAAUGCACAUGCUGUGAGCUCGAUGAGUAGGGCGGGACACGUGGUAUCCUGUCUGAAUAUGGGGGGACCAUCCUCCAAGGCU
rnacentral:rRNA from 1 species